rnacentral:rRNA from 1 species
UUGAACGCUGGCGGCAUGCCUUACACAUGCAAGUCGAACGGCAGCGCGGGCUUCGGCCUGGCGGCGAGUGGCGAACGGGUGAGUAAUACAUCGGAACGUGCCCUGUUGUGGGGGAUAACUAGUCGAAAGAUUAGCUAAUACCGCAUACGACCUGAGGGUGAAAGCGGGGGACCGUAAGGCCUCGCGCAAAUAGGAGCGGCCGAUGUCUGAUUAGCUAGUUGGUGGGUAAAGGC